UACGUAGGGACCAAGCGUUGUUCGGAUUUACUGGGCGUAAAGGGCGCGUAGGCGGCAAAUUAAGUCAUCUGUGAAAUCUCCGAGCUUAACUCGGAACGGUCAGGUGAUACUGAUCUGCUAGAGUGCGGAAGGGGCAAUCGGAAUUCUUGGUGUAGCGGUGAAAUGCGCAGAUAUCAGGAGGAACACCGGUGGCGAAGGCGGAUCUCUGGGCCUUACCUGACGCUGAGGAGCGAAAGCAUGGGGAGCAAACAGG
rnacentral:rRNA from 1 species